UCAACCGCUGCAAACAUGCCUAAUCUUGUCUGAUCUUGGAAGCUAAGCAGGGUUGGGUCAGGUUAGCACUUGGAUGGGAGACCUCUAUGGUUCUUAAUUUUUAU
ensembl:rRNA 5S_rRNA 5S ribosomal RNA